CAUNUGUGCUGGAUAUUAGAUUCCAGUUAUAAGUGAUAUCAUAUGGUAUUUGUCUUUGUCUUUCUGGCUCAUUUCACUCAGGAUGAGAUUCUCUAGUUCCAUCCAUGUUGCUGCAAAUGGCAUUAUGGCAUUCUUUUUUAUGGCUGAGUAGUAUUCCAUUGUGUAUAUAUACCACAUCUUCCGAAUCCAAUCAUCUGUCGAUGGACAUCUGGGUUGUUUCCAUGUCCUGGCUAUUGUGAAUAAUGCUGCAAUGAACAAGCAGAUGCAUGUGUCUCUUUUAAGUAGAGUUUUGUCCUGAUAGAUGCCCAAGAGUGGGAUUGUGGGGUCAUAUGGAAGUUCUGGAGAACAUGUUUUGAGUGUGUUUCAAGCUACUGAAGCCCCCUGAAAACAACUAGUGCACACAGAGCAAUUUGCAGUUGAGCAGCUCUUUCAGCCUUGUUAUAACAGAGGCCUUUGUAUGAAAAAAGGCAAGGGUUGCUUUAGUGUUUGUUGUGUGGGUUGUUUUAUUUGAAUGCAUGUUGUGUGUGUUGUGGAUUGUGUUGUAGUGUAUUGUGUGUGAUUUAUGUGAGGUUGUCCAUGUGUUCUGUUUUGUCUGGUUGUGAGUCUGUUUUGUCCAUGGUUGUGUGUCUGUGCUGUGCUUAGUGUGUGUUGUUUGGUUGUGAAUGCCUGUUAUGUGUGUUUGGAGGUUUUGAGUGUGUUGUUUAUGUUUGGUGUUUUGUUUUGUUGGGAAUGUAUGUUGUUUGUAUUGUGUGGUUGUGCGUGUGUUGUGUGCACUCUUUUGUGAAUAUAUGUUUUAUGUGUUGUGUGUGUUGUGGCAUGGGAGAGAGAAAUAUCAACUGUGGAUGAGGAGAUGGGAGGAAACUUUUGAGUUACAUCUUAAUAAAAUUACAACUCAGAUUGGAAGUCUUAAAAAAUUGUGGAGAAAAUCUUUCCAGGAGUGGGAAUGACCUGAGCUAAAUGUUAUGUUUGCUGAGGGAGGAACAUUCAAAGCCAAAUUGGUAAAGCAGGAGAGAUUAUUAAGGUAUCUGAGAUGGAUGGGCUGUACUCAAGAUGGCACCAGCACCAACUUCUAGGAGAUGUUAGGCUUAUAAACAAUUUUUGGUGGGAAUUAAUGGCAGAAACUAUGGCAGGAACAAUGAAGAAGGAAGACGGGAAGGCAGGGGAGGGGUAGGGGCUUGAUUCCCAUGGCAGAGGGCAAUUACUCUUUGUAGGUGGUUAAUCUAUGCAGGCAGUUGUUUUUGCCAUGUAAUACCCAUGUUGGCAGCAUGCCUCCAAAGUGGACAGCCUCAUUUGUGGGUGUGUGGGAUCUGUCAUCAUCCUCCUGAGAACUUAUAUCAUUUCAGCCUUUUGUUAUAUGGGAUAAGGCAGUGGUCCUGUCUUCUGUAGCUACUUCCUGCUGGAUAGAGUUGAUGAGUACUUGGUGGCUGGACAUUGUAGCUUCCUACUAUAGAGGAUGAGAAGAGAAGAAAAAUAUAUUAAACAGAGGUUUGGGGUAUAGAUUGAUAUUGUUACUGCUGUAGGAGGAGAAUUUCUCCAGUAGUUCCAUUGACCAUGGUCUGAACUGUGUUUUAUAUGAAAUUGAUUAAGAGAAAUUUUAGACAAGGGCAGAGGAGUAAUAUUAAGAGAAGAAUUAUAAAGGGAGCUAUGAGGGAAAGAUGCAUAGCUUUAAGAGGAGAUGAAACUGAAGCAAAUAGAUUCUAACCAGGGGGUUUCUAAGGCAGUGUUUUCUCUUGCCCUUGUAUUAUUUCUAUGAUAUUUUUUAAAACUUUUAUAUUUUCUUCUACUUGUCCUGUAGUAUUAUAUUGUUUAUAUAUAUAUUAUAUAGUAUUGAUAUAAAAGCAGCAAUUUUCAUUAAAUAUGGCAUAAGUGCCUCCUUAGAAUGACUAGAGUUCUUCUAUUUUGUAGAACCAUAACUACUAGGUUAUUAAGAGAUUUCUGUUGGUUUUCAAAUGCCUUCACUGGGCAUUCCAGGACUGGUGUAAAGUUACAUGUUUAACCUAUAACUUUCUAGUAAGGAAAUCCCCAUUAACCAGGAGAGGCCUUGCCAUAAGGAGUGGCCUUUCCAUGGUUUCCUAAAAUGGAGUUGUCAUGGGCAUGAUAGCACAUUUUGGGUGGGCCUAUUUCCUUUGUCUUUAUUUUAUGUUUUGGCCUUUUUAGAACAUUUGUUAAGAGUUACCACAGGUUAGAAAUUAACUAUGAGGCAGCUAUUUUAUGAGGUUUUAAACAUUGGGCACUAGUGUGACCACAGUGCUUGUAACUGACCAGUGUAUUGGAAGUACUAGGCAGGCCAUGUAAAAAGUAUCAGUAUCUAGUUCCUAAUAAAGAAAGGGCUGUUGUGGUGGCAGUGGAGGCAUUCUAUCUAUAAUCUCUUAUAAAAUAUUGGUUUGAACAUAGGACUGUAUGGAGGCUACCUUUUGUGUGUGUGUGUGUGUGUGUGUGUGUGUGUGUGUGUGUGUGUUUGAGAGUCUGUCCUGUUGAUCAGUUAGCCAAAAUAGCAUAAUGUGAGAGAUACUAAAGAUAAAGAGAUUGUGUUCCUAAGUUUUUGUGCAGUAAUUUGGAAAUUUUCCCCAACGAACUGUUUUUCUUGCUGGAUAUAUGGGUACCCAUAGGCAUCCAUGUACCUGUAGCAGCAUUGAGUGAGAGGAUGUGGUUGCGGUAGGACAUGUGUAGGUUUCCUAGGGGGUAAGAACCAGUUUCAGUCAAAUAUAUGUUGGAAAUAGAGAUAGUUCUUAUCAGCCAAAUGAGUAACCUCCCCUAUUGGUUGAGAAACUCCUGGAAAUGUGUUUAAAUCCAUCUUGAACUGUUAAACUUUUGGGAAAAUGGAGACCCUAUGGUAAUUUAAAGUUAGGCUAAGAAGGAUCUCUGGACUUAGAGAAAAGGCCUAUAAAACUAUUGCGGACUCCUGAAAAGUUUUUUGGACAAAUACAGCAAUUGUAUCUUGUGCUAUAGAUGGACAGUUGGGGUGAGGGGAUGAUGAAAUCCUUCAGAAAAUAACAGGCAUUGAAAGAGAGGCAUUAGGGCUAGUAGGGAAAGGAAAGAUUUGGGAAUGUUAUGCAUAGGACAAUCUCUCAAGAAGUGUCCUGAUGGUGUGUGAUUCAGCUUCAUGGGUAAUCAAAUAUCCCUGUAGGAGUGAUUUGUGCAAGAAGGUGAAGAUAUGAAUGAGAAGAUUGAGAGGGACUGUGGCUUGUAUGGACAAUAUUUAUAGGGAGAUCAUAUAUGGGGUGUUAAGAUUUAGGGGGAAAUACAGUGGACAAGGAUAGUAGGAUCUAUUCACAGAAGAUUAUUGAUCUAGAGAGGGGGCGCUGUUUUCCAAAAAAAUAUUUGGUGGAGGCAAUCUGAGGAGUACCAGAAAAUUGAGUCACAGGGAAGAUUGAGAAAGAGAAGAGAAAAUGCCCAGAUAAGAACUAAAAUAAUCAAGACCUUAAUAAUUGGUCAUGACCUGGUGAACAGAGUGAGAUAUCUAGGGUAAUAGAGUUCACUCAUUAGUUGAUUCUUUUGGAAUCUUGGUUAGCUGAGAGCAUCCUAGUAGGUCUGACAGGUGGCUGUUGUAUUUUAGAAAGUUUGGGGGUGUUGAGUCCCAUGGUUUGCUGUAGGAGACUCGCUUUAGCCUAGAGAAAUGAAACAAAGUGUGAUGUCCAUGAGGUUUAGCUUCCAAAGGAGUGUUUAAAAGUACUUGAAAGAGACCAUACCAGCAUGGUUUGAGGUCCUGAGGAUGUAGGUUUUUUAAGAGAACCCAGUCCUGGUGUUGACAGGGGUUGGGAAAAUUGUUUCUACAAAGUGUCUUGGGAGUAUUUGGUUUGUGUGUUCCAUGAGUAGUUGUCUGACCAUAUUUAAAGGGGAAGUCCUUAACUGGAAAUUUUCCUAGGAGGAAGGGUCUGCCAUAUAUAAGUUCAAAAGGAUUCAGGAAAGAGGGAGUUCAAGGCUAAGCUUUGAUGUAUAUAAGAGCAAGGGGCAUUAAGGAGGCUCCUUGAUUUCUAGGCUGUUUGGUUAAUUGUAUUUUAGUCAUAGAUGUAGCCUUUUCUAUUUGACCUGAGGACAGGGGAUGAUAUGGAGUAUGUAAGUACCACUGGAUAUUUAAAACUGUACAAACUUCAUGGGUUAUUUGAGAUAUAACUGUUGUCCAUUAUAAAGAAGUUGGUAAUCCAAAGUGGGGAAUAAUUUCUCUAAUAAUAACCUAGGCAAACUCAGAGGACCUCUCAGGUGGUGAGUAAUGCCUCCACUCAACCCGAAAAGGUAUCAACCAGGGUUAGUAAGUAUUUGAUCUUCUUAAUGAGAGGAAUGUGGGUGAAGUCAAUUUGCCAGUCUUGUCCAGGUAUGUUGCCUCUGGCUUGGUGAGUGGGAAAGGAAUGAGGGCAUAGAUUUCACUGGGGUGAGAUUGAUAAGCAGAUAGGACAGUUUUUGGUGAUUUCUUGAAGGGUGCUUAAGUUAGAGCAGGCUAUGUGCAGAUCUUAAGAGUUGUAAGAGAGGUUUGAACACAAUAUGGAGAGAAUCAUGAAUGUUCCUUAAUAUGUGUUCAGCUUGGUCCUUUGGUAGGAUGUGCUUCCCUUGUAUUGUUAGUCAUGAG
rnacentral:lncRNA from 1 species